CUUUUUUCCAUUGGAGCUGAGAUUACUCGGAACUCUAGCAGACAGACAUGUGCUUGCAGCUCUCAGGUAGGUCUGAGCCAGCAUCCCCCAUAUUUCCUGGCUUCCACUGACAGUCCUUGCCUUUAGGUCUCCUGACCCUUUGGGUACAUGACCUCCAGGUCGACCAGGAACCCAUCCUUCUACCAAGGAUGCCUGUUGAAUGAACUCCCCAUGCCUAAACCUUUUCUGAUUCCCAGUCACUUCCCAAACUAGCCCAGACUUCCCAGACUUCAGACUUUGUCCAUAAAAAUCUAGGAGUUCUAAUUUCAGCCUUCUGAUCAGGACCCAGGUGCCCCAUCUCCCCGUCCAAUGUCUUAGUUAGAGAUCCAGCUAUCCUGCCUUCAGACACCAAUACCAGAAGGUCCUAGCAGAUCUCCCCAGCUCCUAGGUAGACCUCAGGAUAUAGUCUAUCUGCUUUCCCAGGCUCAGCUGUCCAUCAGGAGCAAUUCUCUCAUUCCAUUGGCUCUGACCUUCUUGUCAUGAUUUAUAUUGGUUUAUGUUGCCUCCCAGACCCCACCCUUGUUCCCCAGACCUCCUGCUUCCUGGCCCCUCCUCUCUGGGCCCUCAGAGUUGAAUCUCAGACUAGAUUUUGUCUCUCAGGCUCAGGCUUCCCCUGGUCAUUCUCUGGGGCCUCCAUUGCAGAGCCUUUCCCACUUUCCCUCCUUCCUAACCAAAGAAGUCAGUCUGUUGUCUAGAAGCAUAAUGUAUGUGUUAGUUGGGGUUAGGGGAGUUAAGGAGGCAGAGCGCGAGGUGGAGUAGAAAGGUCUGACUCAGGAGCCAUGGAGGCUCCCAUCUGGGAUCCCAACCCCACUUGUAUUUCUGGGGUUUCUGUAGGAGGGAGGGGGAGGGGAGUAAAAGAUGGAAGGGAGCAGUCUUCCUCUUCAGAUCACCUCCCUUUCCAAUUCUGACCCUCCACCAGGAAUCCCUGCAGACUUACCUCUUGUUUAGAAAAAGAGUGGAAAGUUCUUGCUUCCUCUGGGAUGCUUCUCCCUCUCCAGCUUCUUCAGGUGACCUGGGCCUGGCCCGAGCAGGGAUUGGGUCAAAGACAGACACCAAAAGUGAGCUGAAAUGAGAACAGUUUUACUCUCAGAGCCCCGAACAGCAAUCCCCAGUCUAUGAAGUCAAAGACUGUCAGGACUAGGAUGAGGGGAAGCUGGGCUUUUCUAUGCAGAGAUAAAGAUGGGAGGGAUACUCCUGGAGUUCCUGGCCUUUCUCUUGGUUUUUAGAGAGGUUUAUAAUUAAAGGCUCCCAAAGUUUUAUGUGAUCUCUGUUAGUAAGAGUUUUGGCUGUGGGUCCCUCAAGGGUGGGAGCAAUAAGACCCUGAGAUAGAUAAAGAUCAGGGAUCAGAGGGAGAAUCUUGACAAAAUGCAGUCAAUUUGGUUGCUUUGCUACCUCCACAGGGAUCUAGGAGCCUGAGGGAAUGGGCCCUGGGAGCCUUGGACCUCCUCCUCAGGAGGUGGUGACAUUCAAGGAUGUAGCUGUGGAUUUCACCCAGGAGGAAUGGGGGCUCUUGAACCCCUCUCAGAAGGAGUUGUAUAAGGAGGUCAUGGUGGAGAAUGCCCGGAACCUGCUCUCCCUGGGGCUUCCAGUUCCCAGAGAAGAAGUGAUCUCUUAUUUUGAGCAAAGGGAAGCAUGUUGGACGCUGGACAAAGAAGGCCUCAGAAGCUACUCUCCAGGUCGUCCCAAGGCAUCCCCCAUGGUCACUGCCUUUGUUCCAUCCAAAGCUGAGCUAGACACACAAAAGGCCACCCUCGUGUGUCUGAUAAAUGGCUUCUACCCAAGCACUGUAGAUGUGGCUUGGACCAAGAAUGGUUCCCCCGUGACCAAGGGGGUGAUGACCGGCCCCCCAGUCCGCCAGAGUGACAACAAGUAUACAGCCAGCAGUUACCUCUCGCUCUCUACUGACCAGUGGCUUUCUGACAGCACCUACAACUGCAAGGUCACCCAUGAAGGCCAGGUCUUUCAGAAGGAGCUGUCCUCAACCCAGUGCACUUAGAUGCCCACAUGCUUCCUCCCUCACGUCCCACAAUGGACUUCCCCACCUCUUCCCCCUCCUCCCCUACUUUCAAUAAAGAUCUUCUUAUUUCUCAUUCAA